rnacentral:pre_miRNA from 1 species
GGGAAGCACCGGAUCCUGGGCUGUGUGCCCCGGCGUCCUGGGCUUCAGGGCCUGUGCUGCUGGAAUUGUGCUCCCAGGGCCGCACCCUCCG